CGGACGGGUGAGUAACGCGUGGAAAACCUGCCGUAUACUGGGGGAUAACACUUAGAAAUAGGUGCUAACACCGCAUAAGCGCACAGCUUCGCAUGAAGCGGUGUGAAAAACUCUGGUGGUAUACGAUGGUUCCGCGUCUGAUUAGCUAGUUGGUGGGGUAAUGGCCUACCAAGGCAACGAUCAGUAGCCGGCCUGAGAGGGUGAACGGCCACAUUGGGACUGAGACACGGCCCAAACUCCUACGGAAGGCAGCAG
rnacentral:rRNA from 1 species